GUGGCCUCCACUCCACCAGAACCCAGCUCAGCUUUGCUCUGGGUCAGCUGUGGUAGCAGUCAGAGAAGCACAGUGUCUCCAGCUCAUCAAGUCCUGGACAACAGGGAUGAAGCCAAGAACCUGAGGGUGAUCUUUUCCUAUUUAGCAGGGCAUUUCUGCAUUUCUAGCCCUCAGGAUUCUCUGUGUUGGUGUCACUGGUACUCAGUUUGCCACAACCCGAUGUUAGCAUGCUCCAUGUGCAGCUAGUGGGUGAUAGGAGGAGUCACCGAAGCUAUACCUAAACCUGGAUGGUGACCAACAACAUAACUGUACAUGGAACUGGACACAAACCACAGACAGCUACCCCAAGACCUGGAACUAAUCAGUUUCCCAGCUCAACUUGCCCUGAUAUGGAUCUUCAAAUUCCCCGGGCCCUCUCCUCCACCAGCUGCAGGAGAAUGAAGAGGAAGUUGGAUGGAAAAGAGAUGGCAGAUUCUUUACCAUCUGAGCCACCAAGGAAGUCCUUAUUUCGUUCUAAUUUUGGCUUCAGAAGAACCACCACCAUUGGAGCCAAUGCCCAAUUUCCUAAGUUCACACAUGGAAACAUAUGUUUUGUCAAUGGAGCUACAACUUGGGUUAAAGAUAUACUAACUCUGCGAGCUCAUUUGUCACCAAUGUAUCAACGAUUGAUUUAUUUACUUAUGUACCUUUUCCCCCAAAUGAUUUUAGGUGAUGUUCACAAAAUGGAUUUGUGAAUACAAAAGUAUGCGCUAGGACUGGGGACAUCACAAUUGGGGAGAAUCAAGGUGGCAGAAAAACGAUAUAGACCCAAAGGUAUUAAUGCCUGAUCGACGAAGGUACAAAUUUGGAUCUGAUGUUCCUGAUAGACAAAGCAAAAACACAAACAUGAAUCGGUUAUCAGAUCUCAGUGUUCUUGAAAAGAAAACAAAUGAGUCCCUUACGGAGGCAAAAUGUCUCCUGGUGUGUGUGUGUAUGCGCGUGUGUGUGUAUGCGUGUGUGUGACUGUACAUGUGUGUGCCUGUGUGUGCACUGCCAUUUCUUACAUCAAGCUUCUUAAGUGAUUUGAUGCACAGCGUCCUCAAGAGCUCAAGGCUCUUUCUUCUGACACCACUGUGCAUAUGCAGAGAGUCUGAUGGUGCAAAUCCAUGGCAGCGAAGGGAACGAGAUGAUAAGACACACCUCACACAGAAACUCUGGAACCCAUGGAAACCUAGAUGGACUCUGUGCCCUUUCGCAACAGGAAUGUGGAUAAGAGUUGCUGUGGAUGUGGAUAAUUGUCUUUGAAAGUGCACCAAACCUUUGGUGUUAUGGGUUGAGGGCAGACUCAGGUAUC